GCAGAGGUGGGGGCUGGGCAGGGGGCAGAACUCACAGCAGGGCUGGGCACAGGCAGGGGUGGGGGUGGCAGGGACACAGCACGAAUCAAUCAGGGUUUGGGGAGAAGCAGCAGCAGGGAGCAGUUUGUACAUUUCUGUGUCCUUAUAUCUCACUGGGAUCUCCCAGCCAGAGCUCCUGCCGCAGGGACUCAAGUCACCUUCCCCUAUAGAUGCAGGGUUGGCACCACUGUAUUUGUCACACCCAUGGGGCAUGGACAGGGAGAGUUAAAAAAUCACAAGAUAAACCAGGCUACAUUAUAUAACGUUUUUUUUGGAAACC